ensembl:snRNA U6 U6 spliceosomal RNA
GAGUUCUCACUUUGGUAGCUCAUUUACUAAAAUUAUAACAAUACCAAGAAGAUUACCAAGGCCCCUGCACAGUUGCAAAUUCGUGAAGCUGUCAAUAUUCAU